CGCCUCUUGACCACUAUAAGAGGUCUAGCCUGCCCAGUGACCAAUUUAACGGCCGCGGUACCCUAACCGUGCGAAGGUAGCAUAAUCACUUGUUUCCUAAAUAGAGACUAGCAUCAACGGCAUCACGAAGACUAUACUGUCUUCCCCCUAAAAUCAAUGAAACUAAUCCCCUCGUGAAGAAGCGAGGAUAAAAAUAUAAGACGAGAAGACCCCAUGGAGCUUUAAACGAACUUUAAUUGCUCUUAAUCUUACCAUAAAAAACGAGCACUAAUAAAAGAUAGUUUUCGGUUGGGGUGACCACGGAGUAAAACAAAACCUCCACAGUGAAUGUAAUAAUACUAAUAGAAGAACUACAAUUCUAAUAAUCAAAAAAUUGACACACUUGACCCAAACACUUGAUCAAUGAACCAAGUUACCCUGGGGAUAACAGCGCAAUCCAUUUUAAGAGCCCCUAUCGACAAAUGGGUUUACGACCUCGAUGUUGGAUCAGGGUAUCCUAGUGGUGCAGCCGCUACUAACGGUUCGUUUGUUCAACGAUUAAAAC
rnacentral:rRNA from 1 species